UUUCGAAUCAUUCACAAUGGGCGAAAGCCUGAUGGUGCGACGCCGCGUGAGGGAUGAAGGUCUUCGGAUCGUAAACCUCUGUCACUGGGGAAGAAACGCUAUGCGUAAACAGCGCUUAGCCUGACUUAACCCGGAGAGGAAGCAGUGGCUAACUCUGUGCCAGCAGCCGCGGUAAUACAGAGACUGCAAGCGUUAUUCGGAUUCACUGGGCGUAAAGGGUGCGCAGGCCGCCGUGUGUGUGAGGUGUGAAAUCCCGGAGCUUAACUCCGGAACUGCGCCUCAAACUACAUGGCUAGAGCAUUGGAGAGGGAAGUGGAAUUCACGGUGUAGCAGUGAAAUGCGUAGAUAUCGUGAGGAACACCAGAGGCGAAGGCGACUUCCUGGACAAUUGCUGACGCUCAGGCACGAAAGCGUGGGGAGCAAAAGGG
rnacentral:rRNA from 1 species